CGCCUCACCCCUUCCGCUUUCAUGCGCCUCGAGCUGAAUCUUCAGUCCUCUGCACCUUCCUAAACGCUACAGAAGAUGAACAUAUCUGAGGGGACAUGGGUUCAAACCCUGGUCCGGGAAGAUCCCACAUGCCUUGGAGCAACUAAGCCAGUGAGCCACAACUACUGAGCCCGUGUGCCCUAGAGCCCACGUGCUGCAACUACUGAAGCCUGCGCGCUCUAGGGCCCAUGUGCCACAACCACUGAGCCCACAUGCUGUAACUACUGAAGCCCGCGUGCCUAGAGCCCGUGCUCCACAACAAGGGAAGCCACUGCAAUGAGAAGCCCCCGCCUGCCGCAACUAGAGAAAGCCCACAUGCAGCAACAAAGACCCAGCACAGCCAAAAGAAAAUAAAUUUAAAAAAAAAAAGUUCUCAUCACAAGAAAAAAAUUCUUGUGUAUGGUGAUGGAUGCUAACUAGAUCUGUUGUGGUGAUCAUUUUGCAAUAUAUGUAAAUAUUGAAUCAUUAUGUUGUAUACUUGAAACUAAUAUAAUGUUCUAUGUCAAUUGUACCUCAAUUUAAAAAAAGAAAAUUUCAAGUAUAUAUGUAAGUUGGAGAAGAGAAAUGGAGGAGUAUUUAGAGGUGGAUAUGGAGGUCAAAAGAGGUAUUAUGUAUUUAUUUUUUAAGAUGCAAAAAGUAUGGUACCAUUGUAUGCUGAUUGUAAUGAUUAAAUAAAAUUUUUAUUGUUUAUCCAUGA